rnacentral:rRNA from 1 species
CGCCUCUUGAAACUACAUAAGAGGUCCAGCCUGCCCAGUGACUAAGUUCAACGGCCGCGGUAUCCUAACCGUGCGAAGGUAGCGUAAUCACUUGUUCUUUAAAUGAGGACUAGUAUGAAUGGCACCACGAGGGUUAUGCUGUCUCCUUUUUCUAAUCAAUGAAACUGAUCUCCCCGUGAAGAAGCGGGGAUAUAUCUAUAAGACGAGAAGACCCUAUGGAGCUUUAAACCAUGUAACACUGGCUUUAACAUUAAAAUAUUCCAGAAUUUUCAUAACUACUCUAGCUAUUAUGAUUACUAGUUUUAGGUUGGGGUGACCGCGGAGCAAAAAUUAACCUCCAUGUUGAACGGAGCUACUCCUGAGCCAAAAGCCACGACUUUAAGCACUAAUAAAUUAACAUCAAUUGACCCAAUAUUUUUGAUCAACGAACCAAGUUACCCUAGGGAUAACAGCGCA